rnacentral:rRNA from 1 species
AUUGAACGCUGGCGGCAUGCCUUACACAUGCAAGUCGAACGGUAACGGGCCUUCGGGUGCCGACGAGUGGCGAACGGGUGAGUAAUGCAUCGGAACGUACCUUUCAGUGGGGGAUAACGUAGCGAAAGUUACGCUAAUACCGCAUAUUCUGUGAGCAGGAAAGCAGGGGAUCGCAAGACCUUGCGCUGAUUGAGCGGCCGAUGUCAGAUUAGCUAGUUGGUGAGGUAAAGGCUCACCAAGGCGACGAUCUGUAGCGGGUCUGAGAGGAUGAUCCGCCACACUGGAACUGAGACACGGUCCAGACUCCUACGGGAGGAAGCAGUGGGGAAUUUUGGACAAUGGGGGCAACCCUGAUCCAGCCAUGACGCGUGAGUGAAGAAGGCCUUCGGGUUGUAAAGCUCUUUCGGCCGGGAAGAAAUCGUAUGGGCUAAUACCCUGUGCGGAUGACGGUACCGGCAUAAGAAGCACCGGCUAACUACGUGCCAGCCGCCGCCGUAAAAC